rnacentral:rRNA from 1 species
UACUCGCGGUCCAAGUCGCAGCCAUUUUUAUUGGGUCUAAAACAUCCGUAGCUUGCUUGAAAAGUUUCUUGUGAAAUCCAGCCUCUUAAGGGUUGGGCGGGCAAGAAAGACUUUCAAGCUAGAGACUGGAAGACGUAACAAGUACGUUCAGAGUAGCGGUUAAAUGUGUUAAUCCUGAAUGGACUCACAAUAGCGAAGGCAUGUUACGAGUACAGUUCUGACAGUAAGGGAUGAAAGCUGGAGGCGCGAAACGGAUUAGAUACCCGUGUAGUCCCAGCAGUAAACACUGCACACUAAACAUUGGAACCUCCUCGAGAGGAUUCAGUGCUGUAGGGAAGCCGGAGAGUGUGCUACCUGGGAAGUAUAGCCGCAAGGCCGAAACUUAAAGGAAUUGGCGGGGAGACACUACAACGGGUGACGCGUGCGGUUCAAUUAGAUUCUACACCGUGAAUCUCACCAGGAGCGACAGCAGAAUGAAGGUCAGUCUAAAGGGCUUACCUGACACGCUGAGAGGAGUCGCAAGUCCAACGUCAGCCUGUGCUGUGAAGUGACCUGUUAAAUCAGGUAACAGGCAAGACCCGCAUCUAUAUUUACUAAGUGUACAAUAUAGAGAUUGCCUUGGUAACAAGGAUGAAAGCGCGGGCUACGUUAGGUUAUUUCAGCCCGAAUCCCCUGGGCAACACGCGCGCGUCAAUGCUGGAUACAGUGGGAUGCAACUCUGAAAAGAGAAGCUAAUCUCUUAAAAUCCAGCUUAGUUUAGAUUGAGGUUUGUAACUCAGCCUCAUGACACUGGAAUCCGUAGUAGUCGUUUGUCAACAGCGAACGGUGAAUAUGUCCCUGUCUCU